CCUACGGGAGGCAGCAGUGGGGAAUUUUGGACAAUGGGCGCAAGCCUGAUCCAGCCAUGCCGCGUGCGGGAAGAAGGCCUUCGGGUUGUAAACCGCUUUUGUCAGGGAAGAAACGCUCUGAAUUAAUACCUCGGGGUAAUGACGGUACCUGAAGAAUAAGCACCGGCUAACUACGUGCCAGCAGCCGCGGUAAUACGUAGGGUGCAAGCGUUAAUCGGAAUUACUGGGCGUAAAGCGUGCGCAGGCGGUUAUGCAAGACAGAUGUGAAAUCCCCGGGCUCAACCUGGGAACUGCAUUUGUGACUGCAUAGCUAGAGUACGGUAGAGGGGGAUGGAAUUCCGCGUGUAGCAGUGAAAUGCGUAGAUAUGCGGAGGAACACCGAUGGCGAAGGCAAUCCCCUGGACCUGUACUGACGCUCAUGCACGAAAGCGUGGGGAGCAAACAGGAUUAGAUACCCUGGUAGUCCACGCCCUAAACGAUGUCAACUGGUUGUUGGACGGCUUGCUGUUCAGUAACGAAGCUAACGCGUGAAGUUGACCGCCUGGGGAGUACGGCCCGCAAGGUUGAAACUUAAAGGAAUUGACGG
rnacentral:rRNA from 1 species